AUGCGAAGCCUGGCAUGGUCAAUUAUUCGAAGCGUCAGCAAACUACCAGCCGGCUCUGCUCCGCCUCGCCGGUGGCUUCCAGCUCCUGCGCGACGAGAUGCUCUUGGCGAUCGUCUUUUCCGUGAGAAGCAGAGUAAGCAGGGCUUGCCGCGCCGCUGCUUCUGUUCCGCCAUCGCGGAUAAAGCGGAGACGAAGAAGGCGGCGGCAGACGAGAGCAACCCCACGGUAGAGACGACAAUGGCAACCCAAGAUUUACAUUGCCACUACCACAUGCCAAUCUUUCCGGGGAGCAGCCACCGUGACGGUGCGAUCUACAAGAAGAGGCUUGAAUGGGAGAGCGAUUACGGCGUCGAUAUCACCGACCGCACGGAGACUCUGCUUAAGCCAUCGUACGUGGACGACAUGACAUGCGAGAUGCUGCAGAUUUUCUCGUUGAAGCUAGCUAAGUCUCCUGUCACUGCCAGUGCCAGCAAUGGCUCGAUAGAGCUAUAUGGAUUCAUGGCGGCACGGGAUGAGUAUGAUUUGAAGCUCAACUAUGUUUUCAACCGCGGCAGAGAAGAUCCCGUCGUCGUGCAAGAGGGCUCCCUCAUCCAGAUGACCGGCCCUAGGAGAGGCAUUGCGUUUCACUGCGACGUUCUGCUUGAGUUCGACAUGAGGAUCAAAAACGGAGAGAGAGAGGAAGAUGACGCGCAGCUAAUCGACGGAAUGUCUGAAGUUCGAGGAAUGUUCAUGCCGUGGGAACCGACCCCGGUUCGCCUCGACGGCGACUGCGGCGCGGUCGAGGUGUCCUCCGCACUCGUUAGCAAUGCAGUCGCGGCCAUUGUAGAGGUUAUCGUCGUAUCAGAUGUGCGGAGUGGUCUCGAUUUAUCCCUCAGCUCCGUCAUUUGUGCUGUGGAGGCGCAUGAGUUUCAGCUUUUUCAUGGCUCUGUUGGCGACUGGUGUGGCGAAAGGAGGAGGUUUGCCAUUGCUGUCACGGUGGAUACCAUGAUGCAUCUGAAGUUCGUGGCUGGUCACAAGGGCUCUAAUGGUAAUGUUAAACGCAGAUGUUCCUUCAGAGCUAAGAUAAAUGGGCAGGUCAGCCGUCGAAUAAAGCUUGAGCUCGCCUCUAUCUUGGUGAAGGUGACUUGGGCGGCGUGGCCUUACCAUAUGUUUUGUUGA
rnacentral:rRNA from 1 species